rnacentral:rRNA from 1 species
GGAUGGACUCGCGGCCUAUCAGCUAGUUGGUGAGGUAACGGCUCACCAAGGCGCCGACGGGUAGCCGGCCUGAGAGGGUGACCGGCCACACUGGGACUGAGACACGGCCCAGACUCCUACGGGAGGCAGCAGUGGGGAAUAUUGCACAAUGGGCGCAAGCCUGAUGCAGCAACGCCGCGUGGGGGACGAAGGCCUUCGGGUUGUAAACCUCUUUUAGUAGGGAAGAAGCGAAAAUGACGGUACCUGCAGAAAAAGCACCGGCUAACUACGUGCCAGCAGCCGCGGUAAUACCUAGGGUGCGAGCGUUGUCCGGAAUUAUUGGGCGUAAAGAGCUCGUAGGCGGUUUGUCACGUCUGCUGUGAAAACCCGAGGCUCAACCUCGGGCCUGCAGUGGGUACGGGCAGACUAGAGUGCGGUAGGGGAGAACGGAAUUCCUGGUGUAGCGGUGGAAUGCGCAGAUAUCAGGAGGAACACCGAUGGCGAAGGCAGUUCUCUGGGCCGUAACUGACGCUGAGGAGCGAAAGCGUGGGGAGCGAACAGGAUUAGAUACCCUGUAGUCCACGCCGUAAACGUUGGGCGCUAGAUGUGGGGACCAUUCCACGGUUUCCGCGUCGUAGCUAACGCAUUAAGCGCCCCGCCUGGGGAGUACGGCCGCAAGGCUAAAACUCAAAGGAAUUGACGGGGGCCCGCACAAGCGGCGGAGCAUGCGGAUUAAUUCGAUGCAACGCGAAGAACCUUACCGAGGCUUGACAUAUGCGAGAACGCUCUAGAAAUAGAGAACUCUUUGGACACUCGUAUACAGGUGGUGCAUGGUUGUCGUCAGCUCGUGUCGUGAGAUGUUGGGUUAAGUCCCGCAACGAGCGCAACCCUCGUCGCAUGUUGCCAGCACGUAAUGGUGGGAACUCAUGUGAGACUGCCGGGGUCAACUCGGAGGAAGGUGGGGAUAACGUCAAAUCAUCAUGCCCCUUAUGUCUUGGGCUUCACGCAUGCUACAAUGGCCGGUACAAAGGGCUGCGAAACCGCAAGGUGGAGCGAAUCCCAAAAAGCCGGUCUCAGUUCGGAUUGAGGUCUGCAACUCGACCUCAUGAAGUCGGAGUCGCUAGUAAUCGCAGAUCAGCAACGCUGCGGUGAAUACGNUCCCGGGCCUUGUACACACCG